AUGAAUCCUGUCCAAGCUGAAGUGGCUGCUCUUCAAUCCAUCCUUGCAGCCUUUGGCAAGAUCUCCGGCCUCUGCACAAAUUUUAGCAAAUCAGCAGCAUACCCAAUUGCAUGUGAGGACCAUGUGAUUGAGGAGGUUCUAGCUGAGUUUGAGGGCGAAAUCAGCUCCCUCCCGUGCAAGUACCUUGGGAUGCCUCUGAGUAUUCGCAAGCUUCGGAGGGUGGAUUUUCAAGUUCUCAUUGAUAAAAUGGCAGCAAAGCUUGCGGGAUGGAAGGGGAAAUUACUUAACAGGAUGGGACGGCUGGCUCUCAUCAACUCGGUGUUAACCUCCUUCACCACAUACUAUCUGACAAUGUUUGCUCCAACCAAGUGGGUUGUAAAGAGGAUUGACAAGCUCCGAAGAAGUUUUCUUUGGAAAGGAGAAGAAGAGGCCAAAGGAGGCCACUGUGCAGUCAAUUGGCAACAAGUAUGCUCCCCCAAAAAGCUUGGGGGCCUUGGAAUAAAAAACCUAGCUUUCUACAGCAGAUCUUUGAGAUUAAGGUGGGCUUGGUACUCCUGGAAAUACCCCAAUAGGCCUUGGGUUGGACUGCAAAUUCCAUGCACUAGCACUGACAUGCAGCUGUUCAAUGCCUCCACAACUGUCAAGCUUGGUGACGGUCAAAGUGCUAAAUUCUGGAGUAGCUCAUGGCUAAAUGGUUCUGCACCUAAGGACAUCGCCCCAAACCUACAUAAGCUUGCAAGGCGGAAAAAUGCCUCGGUGGCGGCUGCUCUCAAUCGGGGCCGCUGGAUGAAAGGAAUCGAGCAACUUAGCACCACUGAGGAUCUGAUCAGUUUCAUUGACCUUUGGCACCGGAUACAAGGGGUUAACCUCUCGGAUCAACCGGAUGACAUUGAAUGGAAAUGGAACGGCAGCAAAUCAUACACUGCUGCCACUGCUUAUGAUGCCCAAUUCAUCGGAACCAUUGCGAAGCCUGAGUUGAAUGCCCUUUGGAAAGCAAAGGUGGAGGGAAAGAUCAAAUUCUUUGGUUGGCUUCUAUCUCAAAAUAGACUGCCAACUGCUGAUCGUCUUCGCGCGAGAGGAUGUGAACACAACGACACCUGCUCCCUCUGCGACCAAACAAUUGAGACUGCCGCUCAUCUGAUCUGUGGAUGCCCAUUUGCAAAGGAAGUGUGGCAGAAGAUCACCACCAUGCUGCCUAACAUUCAACUUCAAGCAACCUUGCCGUUCACCUCCAUCGCAGCCUGGUGGAGAAGUUUUGCCUAUGGGCAGCAGAAAAAGGCAGCAGCUGCGCUAUACUUUGCCUGGAAUAUUUGGAAUGAGCGAAACCGAAGAAUAUUUCAAAACCUGUCUUCAACUGCUGAUAUGGUGGCUUGCCUAGCCAGGUCUGACUUAGCAUACUUGGACAUGGCCAAUGUGAGGCCUUAG
rnacentral:rRNA from 1 species